rnacentral:rRNA from 1 species
GGAGGGAUCAUUACCGAGUGUAAAAACUCCCAAACCAUUGUGAACCUACCACUGUUGCUUCGGCGGCCUCGCCCCGGGCGCGUUCGCGCGGCCCGGACCCAGGCGUCCGCCGGAGGCUCCAAACUCUUGUCUUUUAGUGUAUUUCUGAGUGGCAUAAGCAAAUAAAUCAAAACUUUCAGCAACGGAUCUCUUGGUUCUGGCAUCGAUGAAGAACGCAGCAAAAUGCGAUAAGUAAUGUGAAUUGCAGAAUUCAGUGAAUCAUCGAAUCUUUGAACGCACAUUGCGCCCGCCAGUAUUCUGGCGGGCAUGCCUGUCUGAGCGUCAUUUCAACCCUCAGGACCCGUUCGCGGGACCUGGCGUUGGGGAUCAGCCUGCCCCUGGCGGCGGCUGGCCCUGAAAUCCAGUGGCGGUUCCCUCGCGAACUCCUCCGUGCAGUAAUUAAACCUCUCGCGGCAGGAUAGCGGUUGAACCACGCCGUUAAACCCCCCACUUCUCAAGGUUGACCUCAGAUCAGGUAGGAAUACCCGCUGAACUUAAGCAU